UCGAGAAUUUUUCACAAUGGGCGAAAGCCUGAUGGAGCGACGCCGCGUGGGGGAUGAAUGGCUUCGGCCCGUAAACCCCUGUCAUUCGCGAGCAAACGUUAUUAUUUAAAAGAUGAUAGCCUGAUAGUAGCGAAAGAGGAAGGGACGGCUAACUCUGUGCCAGCAGCCGCGGUAAUACAGAGGUCCCAAGCGUUGUUCGGAUUUACUGGGCGUAAAGGGUGCGUAGGUGGUGGGGUAAGUCGGAUGUGAAAUCGCCGAGCUCGACUCGAAAAGUGCAUUGGAACCUACCCUGCUCGAGGGUUGGAGGGGGGACUGGAAUACUUGGUGUAGCAGUGAAAUGCGUGGCUAUCAAGUGGAACACCAGUGGCGAAGGCGAGUCCCUGGACAACUCCUGACACUGAGGCACGAAAGCUAGGGGAGCAAACAG
rnacentral:rRNA from 1 species